CGAUUGAGUUUGAUCAUGGCUCAGGACGAACGCUGGCGGCGUGCCUAACACAUGCAAGUGGAGCGACGAACCAGGCUUCGGCCUGGGGCAAAGCCGCGAACGGGUGAGUAACACGUGGGUUACCUGCCCCGAUGAUCGGGACAACCCGAGGAAACUCGGGCUAAUACCGAAUGUGCCCUCCGGCCACAAGGCCGCUGGGGAAAGGAAGCUUCGGCCUCCGCAUCGGGAUGGGCCCGCGGCCCAUUAGCUUGUUGGUGAGGUAACGGCUCACCAAGGCGACGAUGGGUAGCUGGUCUGAGAGGACGAUCAGCCAUACUGGGACUGAGACAC
rnacentral:rRNA from 1 species